UCUCCUGGAAAACGGGUGGUAAUGCCGGAUGCUCCGGUUGGAUGCAUGUCCUUCCGGGAAAGAUCCGUCGGUAUGGGAUGGGGUCGCGUCCUAUCAGCUUGAUGGCGGGGUAACGGCCCACCAUGGCUUCGACGGGUAGCCGGCCUGAGAGGGCGACCGGCCACAUUGGGACUGAGAUACGGCCCAGACUCCUACGGGAGGCAGCAGUGGGGAAUAUUGCACAAUGGGCGCAAGCCUGAUGCAGCGACGCCGCGUGCGGGAUGGAGGCCUUCGGGUUGUAAACCGCUUUUGAUCGGGAGCAAGCCCUUCGGGGUGAGUGUACCUUUCGAAUAAGCACCGGCUAACUACGUGCCAGCAGCCGCGGUAAUACGUAGGGUGCAAGCGUUAUCCGGAAUUAUUGGGCGUAAAGGGCUCGUAGGCGGUUCGUCGCGUCCGGUGUGAAAGCCCAUCGCUUAACGGUGGGUCUGCGCCGGGUACGGGCGGGCUGGAGUGCGGUAGGGGAGACUGGAAUUCCCGGUGUAACGGUGGAAUGUGUAGAUAUCGGAAA
rnacentral:rRNA from 1 species